CAGAGAGGCAGUGUCGCAUCCCGCUGUCUGCGCAUGUGCAGUGCCGCGCCCGCCGAGCUGUGUGGGCGCUGUGGGAGGAAGUUGCCAAUGUUUCCCGUUCCUUCUGGACGCUCCCGGUGUUUCCGGGGCCUUUGUGGGGCCUCCCUGUGUUCCCUGUGCCGUCGCGGCGAGGAGGCUGCUCUCGCAAGUCCUCGGGGUUCCCUUUGUCUUUACAGGGGCAGAUCCCGGUGAGGUGACUGCACUAACCCCGCCAUCCCGUGUACCUCUCGCUCGUGGCUGCGAUACCUUCAGGGUGAAUUGUCUGUCCCCAUGCUGAACUCCCCUCGCCCUUUGUAAACGGAUAACAGCAAUGGGCUUGAAGAGUUGCACUUCAAGAGAUGGAAGUGGAGAUGCUGACUGAUAAGCAAAAGUUAAUGACAGAGAAUGUAUUUUCUCUCCCUGAUGUAUCUUUCAGGGAGAGUUUAUCUGCAUAGAUGAACUGCUGUUGUUCACUUUUUUACUGCCCCAAGAUUGAGACAAAAAAUUGUGUUGUUUCAGUUGAUAUAAGCAUGAAUAAAACUUGCCUUCUUACAUAAAAAUCUUGUCUACCCUUCAUUUUAUGGCUGUGCCUUCUUACCCCAGCAAGAUGUGUCUUGACUUCAGAAUCAUAUAAGUAAUUUCUAUUGAUUCUUUCUAAUCUUUUGGCAGGUGAUCUGUGAAACUAAUAGUUCAAUCCCUACCUUAUUUUAAGCUUUGUCAAAAUCACUGUUUUUGCUUAGACAGUCUUUGAAAAAACAUUUUCUGAAAAAUAUCUCAUUAAGGCAGCAUUUCAGAUCCUGAAAACACUCAUAGCACAAACAAAAUUAAUAAUUUUUCUUUUUCAGAACCUGAUGUUUGAGAGACCUUGCUUAGAAGACAACUAGUUUAUGCUUAAGGAAAGGUAGUGUAAAGUGAGAGAAAAUUAUCUUCUCCAGAGGCUUUUCUUUACUUGUUUAAAAGACUAGCAACAACAUGUUAAAAUAGACUACAUAAAAACUCUGUUUAGUAAGAAGAAUCCAGUGCACUUGUAAGGAAGAAAGAAAGAAUUUGUUAUCCAUUGUUUCUUUGUAUAACUGAUUUGUGCAAGAAGAGAACAACUUUAUGAAAUAUCUUGAAAUAAAUUUUGUUUAGAUAGGAGUACUCAAUAGGACACCAAGUCUUCUUAUAAUAAAAAGAAAUUACCAUGGUGAACCAAGUGUACAGUUACCUGAGCAGACCAAAAUAAAUGGUCCAUGGUGUACUAUACCUUUCAAAUUGCUAGCAAAAAUCAGUGUCCAAUUUUCUAGUGUUUGUUCAGAAAAAAGUAGAAUUUCAGUCUAACAGUAGCAAAACAUCAUCAUUAAACUAGUGAAAAGUCCAAUGCUUGAUCCAGUCUCUAACCCAAGGCUAUUUUGGAAAUAACCAUUCUUUUAUGCAUGCUGUGAGGGGUUGGAGGCUUGAGGUUAGAACAGCCUUUUGAAAUUACAAGACUUCCAUGUUUCAUGGCUUAAGUGAUUGUGAUACUAGAUUUGGACAUUUACAUUUAUCCUGCUCAUCAGAUGACCUCUGUGGAGGUAUUAUAUUUAACAUUUAUUUAAUAAUCUUUUUCAAGGAAUGAUAGCAUAGAUUUUGUUUCAAGUAGGCUGAACACAAAACCAAGGUUUUGGCCUGUUUGGAACCUGUGUGACUGUAGAAACAAAUAUUAAGUACUAGCAGCAUGGUGAUUAAGAUGGACAUUGUGUAUGGAAGAUGGGCUUCAUUAGCCAGAAUUAAUUUACCCCUCAUUAUUCACUUUAUAGACUUAUGAGGCCACAUCUGAAGUACUGUAUCCCUUUUUGAAACCCCAGUAUGGGAAAGUUCUUGCCAAAAUUUGGGUAUGGUCAGCAGUAGGUUCUUUGAGCACAUAACAUAUUCGGGCUAAGGGUGAUGGGUUUUUUGGGGUCAAUUUUCAAAAUACUUAAUUUUUCAACUGCAGAAUGAGGGCUGUUUACAAGAUGAAAUCCCACUUCUCCCUGGGAUGUGAGAUUGAAGGACAAAAGGCAACUGCCCCAACUUGUAGAAGAAAUUAUUCUAAGUAGGUAUAAGGCAAAAGAACCUAUUAAUUGGGGGAGUGAUUUGGCACAGGUGCCCUGUGAAAAUAUUUAAUAUCCAUCUCUGGAGAUUUCUCAUUGUAGGCCAGACACUGAGCAACCUAAUCCAACUUGGAGACUCUUUGGAGACCUGUUUGGGGUAAGAGAUUGGACCAGACAACAUACAGGGACAACUUAAGUGAUUCCACUUAAAUAAAGGAUAAAUGUUAAUAACCUGAGGAGAUGGACAUAUCAAAAUAUUUCAAGUGCUAAUCACUUUCUAUGGGUUUUGUGUUAUUAAAGUCUUUUUCUUGUAUUUGUUAGUGCUAAAGAUCAAGUGUUUUAAGUGGUACAUUGGAUAAAACCUAAUUCCAUCAAUAAUGGAUUACUUUGAAGAAAAGCUUAAUUUCUGAGGUUUUAAGUUUUUUUUUUUCCCUGUAAGUAGAUAGAAUAUAUUGAAGUAAAACUUCAAUACAUCAAUGUAACAUUUCAUGUCUUGUCAUCUGUUUAUUGCGUUUCAGACCAUCCAUUGCAAUUAUCAUAACAUCUGAGUCUGGGAACAUUAGCAAUAAACAAUUAAACUUAUUAGUUAGCUAGCUCUAAAAAUAGACUUCAUUCUCUGUCUUUAUCAGGCAACAACACCUGUGAUGGAAUUCUAGUUUCAUUUCCCCCUUCAAGUGCAGAAACCAUGAAAUUACCCAGAAGAGUAAGAUACAGAGAAGAAAGUUUAUCAUGAAAAAUAAAAGCUGGAAAGUGUAAGACAAUUGUGUUCCAUGCACCAUCUAUAGUAAUUAUAUCCUUGGCUCUCCCCUCCUGUAAGAAAGGAAGAAGCUAUAUUGUUGACACUAAACAGGUGGCCAACCCACCAUGUGUGGAGAUACGAUGGAAGGAGAUGAAUCAAAGUAUCAUUUUGAUAGUAACAAUUGUAUUUAUUUUUAAACAAAGAUGUUUAGUUUCAAACAGGUCAGAGAGGAGUCAAUAAUGGACAAUGCAGAAAGCUAAAAUAACGUUCAAGCUUUUUCUGUAAAGUCCUUUUAAUUAUGUUUGAUUUAUUUUUCCUUUGAAUUUCCCUGAAUUUAUUUACGACACAGUUUCAUGUGGAGGUGUGCUGAAGAGAGAAAACUUUUGGUCUUUUGGAUGGACUAUAAAACAUGUUAUCUUGCUCAUUUCCUCCCUGCUUUUCUUUUGCAUAAAGCUUCCAGCUGUUUCCAAGUAAUGAUUAGGUGUUUGAUAUUGUAAGAGAGAUGGAAAAUUCAGAUACUUCAAGAAAAGGUAAGAUUGGGGUCAAGUUAUGGAAUGCCACCCAUCUCCUGAGACGUGGGAAAAAAAGAGAAAGAAAAUGGGAGAAAAUUAAAACACCUGACUAAUACCAUUCCAUUGGCAACCAUGCUGUUUCUUUUUUCCAUCCAUUUCCAGAUCUAGACCCUACAAUUACUUGAGAAUUAAAUAAUUUAGCAAUUAUUUAAAUAACAAAUUAUGUAAAGCUUAAUUAACCAUAAUACACCCAUCAGAAACAUGAACAAAUGUAGAACAGCGGGGAGUAGAUCUACCCACACAAAUUCUCUUUCUUCCCAAAAGACCUAGCACUGAUAAUUGCCUUCCUCUUGGUCCAAGUGACUAGAAAACAUUUGGGGCUUUUAAGGAUAUUCCAGUGAGGAAAAGAGACUAAGCAGUGAGCUGAGUUAGUUUGUUCUGGUGUGUUUAUUACAAUAACACAGAAAAUUUGGAAUUUUUUUUGAGCAGAAGUGUAAUCAAAUAAUAUGCUGCUCCUCACAGUCUUUUAGUUUAGGACCAACCCUGGUUUUGCGCAAGCAAAUCUGAUUCUUUUGUUCGGCUCUAUCAGCAUCUCAUCUUUUUCCUAAUUUAAGUGCCCAGCAUCCAUUCAAACUUCAAAUGAAAACAUAUAAAAUCACUUUUACCUAUAGCAACAGAAUUCCUUUGCCUGUUCAGUGAGGGGAGAUGUCUGAACCAGGUUCAAUGGGAUUUAAUUCAGUGUCUAACAAUACCUAUUGCACUAGUCUAAAAAAAUCCCAGGUUUUAUUGAAAGCUGAAGAUGUCCUGGAGCUAGGCCAUAGAAGAAAAUGCCUUCCAUCACUCCCUUUCUUUUAUUUUUUGGAGUUCCAGGUGGACCAGCACCUUUGGCAGAUGUAUCAGCAGUAUCCCAUGAGGAAAGAGUAAUUUUUCCAAGUGGGCAGCUCUCAAAGUAUUCAGAUCAGAGCUUAUGCUGUUAAAUGUCACAUAGAAUCCAACAGACAACUUAUUAGUGUCAGAGAGUGCUGGUAACCACACACUCUCAGGAAGUGGUAUGAUUGAAAAUCAAAUCUAUUGUCACCUUUUCAAAUCUGGAAGAGGAAACUUCAUUAAGACCACACUGCAGUACAAUAAGCUUUCCCCUCCUGAAGAUCACCAACUUCAUGGCAAACGUCUGGAUGAUGACCAGUGAAGGCACUUUAGCAUCCUGUUUCCAGCUCAUCACAGCAGCAAUAUAAAAUUUGGUCCACAUUCAACUCCUGUUCCAGUUUGUGAGCUGCAGUGAUCACCCGUUGAAGCAGUUGCACUUACUCUUAAAAUCCGUACCCACACCAGAUGGAGGGUGGCUGAGCAGAUAGAGGAGGAUGAAGCAGGGCUGCAAUGGAAUAAUAGUUCGCAACAACACCAACCUUAGCAGUCAGAAACUCAUAAAAAUUCUAUCAAAUAUCUGGAAAGAUGAAAUGGAAGCUUGCCAAGACAUAACCUGUCAAGGACCUGGAGAAUUCAAAUGAUUUGUUUUUAUAAACCUGCAUAGCCACUACACAGGUUUUUGUGAAUUUCACCAAAACUGGAAAUAAAUUUUUUUUUCAUUACCCUCAUCCAUGUGGAAACCCUCUAUAUCAUGGGAAAUGUUCUUGGAGAGCAUGGCACUGAUGUAGCCUGUAUUAAAAAUGUGCUUUAUAUGAGAUGGAAGGGAGAGCAAAAAAGAAAGAAAUACAAACUGUAAAGAAAGCAGGUGUCAUUUGAUGUGAUCUAAUUCAAACUUGUAGUUGCUUCAGCCCUGUACAAAAUUUUAGCAGAGACCUUAAUAAGGCCUCGGGAUUAAUACAAAUCCAAAUGUUGAGAUAUUUUUAUUGUCUUAAUAAUCUUUCUGAGUGAUGGUUGAGACCCUCAGAAUACAUAAACCGAAAUAUUUGUACUUGUUCAUGCCUGCUGUGUAAAUAUUUAAUUAGUAUUUUUACAUGGCUUUGGUGACUAUGAGUAAAAAUAGGCUAAAACCAAUGCUGUUUUGUUGAUGUUAUGUUUGAUUUUGCUGCUUUUGUUGUUUUGAUUUUGGUUUUGACAUGGUGGGGCUUUUUUGAAGGUGCUUGCUGACAAGAGUCUUGUCAGUUGUAUUUUGGUGUAUAUCCUAAUAACAAUCCCACAGCAAGUUCACACUGUAGGUUUGCAUUCAAUGUACUAGAAACAAAAGUCGGGAGCAUAGAUGUUGGAAAGGUGUCCUUUAUUAUGUGUGCAUUUCUUUCAGAUAAUUUAAGGGAAGAUUUAGAUAUUUGCCUGCAAACCAACCCCUGCAGUAUUCUAAGAUAGGCCCAACAGUAAGAAUAUGGCUAUCUGAGCUCUUACUCAGGCUCCCUUUUGGUUUUAGCUGGUCUAAUAUGCAGCAGUUUCCGUCAGAAAUCUUGAAAGAGCUGUUAGCACCCCAAAUUCUUACCUGAUCAAAUCAAAAUUCUGGAUGUGAGCUGCUGUUGCUGAAGGGGGCAUGCUGCUUUUUUUUUGCCACUAUUGCUUGGUGACAGUAGAGUCAUCAGUUUUUAAAUUCUGACAUUUGUCAUCUAACAUUGGCAGUGUCCAUCAGUCACAGUGUUUAGCACAACAAGUGUCCCAUGGGUUCUUGAGAUGACCCAUAUGGCUUGCCAUGGUUUUAGGCAGAGCAACCUCAGAGCUGUGCACACAAGGCCUACACCUCUCUUUCUAUAUAUUUUACAUAUUUAUCCUUUUAUUUCGGGAGAUAGAUCAGAGGAAAUCAGUAUGCUUAGCUCAUCUCAGAGCACAGUGGGGUAUUGCUUAAACUGACUGAUGUCUUGUGCGUGAAUAGUGAACGUAUGAAUGCAAUGCCCCUGCUGAAGCAAAGAACUCAGGCAACCCAGGCUUGAUAAUUUAUCUACUGCAGCAUUUUUGCUGGUAGCACAGCUCUGUCUCUGCUGAGUGCAUUUUCAUCAGUGCCCUUGUCCUUAUAAUCAUUAUUAACAUAAAAGUCCCAUGAGGCCCCAGUCCUCAGCACUUUACCAAAGCCACUCUACAGACAAGAGCCCUGUCCUGGAGAGCAGUCUGGGUCUGUGGGGUACAAUACUUCCUUUGUCUAGAUUCUAGAAUAGCACAGCAGAACCAAGAUGUGUCUGUGUGAGAGGAGAAGCCUUGGGCUGGUCACUGCCAGUCUGAUGUGCUUUUUAUUCCUCUUAUUUGUCUUCUUUGUUUUGACUUUUUUUUUAAUAGGUGCAACUGAAUUCUCGAGCAGGAUUGAAUUCUUAUGCCUGAAAUUGUUUCUUAUACAUUUAUACGGAAGUAAUACAUCUACAUACUGCUGUUGUAAACAGCAUUGUUUUGUGUCAUACAGAAAUUUGUGAACUUGCUUUAUUGGCUCUUGUCUCUGGCGUAAUAAAAUCCAUCUGUACUUGGAGCAAAGAGAUAAGGCUUGGCUGAAUGCAAGACUAUUCCUUUUUGUAAAUUUGUACUCUCUUUCCAUGAAUUAAGAGUUGUUCUUUACCCCUCUCUCUUAUCUUGUCUCCAUGGUUUGGACAAAUUUUUGGAAUGUAAGAAUUCAGUCAACAUUAACUUUGCUCCUCUGCUUUGCUCAGUUUAAAAUUGUUUCUGUGACAGCAGGAAAUGAAUUUUUUGAAAGUAUUUGGCUCUGGAGGUUUUCUUGAAGAUCUAUUGUUAUCUUCCAUAAAUGAGCACAAACACAGUCAAUGAUUUUGUUGAAUCUUUCUGUACUGCAAUUCUGUUCACAUAUGUAUAGUUACUGUCUAAUCAUAUGCAUUUGUCCUCCAGACAGACCAAACAUGAUCUAGUUUCAGACAGACCAAACAAUGCAUUGCUAUGUCCACAAAUGAAGUGUUAUGUUUUGCUUUAUACCAGACUUACUUCAUGUCAGGAUGUAUAUCAAUAAACAGCUAAUCAUACAUGCAUGUAUAAAAAAUUGCAGAAAUUAUACUCUAAACUCUUUCCCACAUUUAUGAGGGGAUAGGAUGAAGUCUCACAUGAUUUCUGAUAAAUCACAUUGAGCAGCAGCUAACACUGCAGCAACCAUUGUACACUUAAUUUCUUUGUCUCUACACUUGACCCUGCUCUAGAUGAGACAGUGUUGAUCACAGGAGAAAAUGGGCCCACAGUUUGUUUCUUAGGUACAGCUCUGCAGUGAAAAGGAUAGGAUUUUCUUUCUGUCCAUGGCUUUCCUUGGUGUUUGAGUUGCUGAAGUACUGACAGCACUAUCUAUAAUUCAGUGAUAAGAGCUGUAACACUAUACACAUGAAUGGCUGCUGCUCAAAUACCAGGACAUCCUCAGGCAAGACCACUGAUAUCAACAAAUAUUUUUAUCCCCAUCUGAAUGAUUCUGAAAUCGAAGAAGUGACUAUCUUACCUCAAGUCACACUGCAAGUU